AGCACAGUUCACGAAAAGGCCGAAA
rnacentral:siRNA from 1 species